rnacentral:rRNA from 1 species
CUGGGGAACCUCAUGGCCUUCACUGGCUGUGGGGGGAACCAGGACUUUUACUGUGAAAAAAUUAGAGUGUUCAAAGCAGGCCUUUGCUCGAAUACAUUAGCAUGGAAUAAUAGAAUAGGACGUGCGGUUCUAUUUUGUUGGUUUCUAGGACCGCCGUAAUGAUUAAUAGGGAUAGUCGGGGGCGUCAGUAUUCAGCUGUCAGAGGUGAAAUUCUUGGAUUUGCUGAAGACUAACUACUGCGAAAGCAUUCGCCAAGGAUGUUUUCAUUAAUCAGGGAACGAAAGUUAGGGGAUCGAAGACGAUCAGAUACCGUCGUAGUCUUAACCAUAAACUAUGCCGACUAGGGAUCGGGCGGUGUUUCUAUGAUGACCCGCUCGGCACCUUACG